rnacentral:rRNA from 1 species
GACGAACGCUGGCGGCGUGCCUAAUACAUGCAAGUCGAGCGAGCGGAACUAACAGAUUUACUUCGGUAAUGACGUUAGGAAAGCGAGCGGCGGAUGGGUGAGUAACACGUGGGGAACCUGCCCCAUAGUCUGGGAUACCACUUGGAAACAGGUGCUAAUACCGGAUAAGAAAGCAGAUCGCAUGAUCAGCUUUUAAAAGGCGGCGUAAGCUGUCGCUAUGGGAUGGCCCCGCGGUGCAUUAGCUAGUUGGUAAGGUAAAGGCUUACCAAGGCGAUGAUGCAUAGCCGAGUUGAGAGACUGAUCGGCCACAUUGGGACUGAGACACGGCCCAAACUCCUACGGGAGGCAGCAGUAGGGAAUCUUCCACAAUGGACGCAAGUCUGAUGGAGCAACGCCGCGUGAGUGAAGAAGGUUUUCGGAUCGUAAAGCUCUGUUGUUGGUGAAGAAGGAUAGAGGUAGUAACUGGCCUUUAUUUGACGGUAAUCAACCAGAAAGUCACGGCUAACUACGUGCCAGCAGCCGCGGUAAUACGUAGGUGGCAAGCGUUGUCCGGAUUUAUUGGGCGUAAAGCGAGCGCAGGCGGAAGAAUAAGUCUGAUGUGAAAGCCCUCGGCUUAACCGAGGAACUGCAUCGGAAACUGAUUUUCUUGAGUGCAGAAGAGGAGAGUGGAACUCCAUGUGUAGCGGUGGAAUGCGUAGAUAUAUGGAAGAACACCAGUGGCGAAGGCGGCUCUCUGGUCUGCAACUGACGCUGAGGCUCGAAAGCAUGGGUAGCGAACAGGAUUAGAUACCCUGGUAGUCCAUGCCGUAAACGAUGAGUGCUAAGUGUUGGGAGGUUUCCGCCUCUCAGUGCUGCAGCUAACGCAUUAAGCACUCCGCCUGGGGAGUACGACCGCAAGGUUGAAACUCAAAGGAAUUGACGGGGGCCCGCACAAGCGGCGGAGCAUGUGGUUUAAUUCGAAGCAACGCGAAGAACCUUACCAGGUCUUGACAUCUAGUGCCAUUUGUAGAGAUACAAAGUUCCCCUCGGGGACGCUAAGACAGGUGGUGCAUGGCUGUCGUCAGCUCGCGUCGUGAGAUGUUGGGUUAAGUCCCGCAACGAGCGUAACCCUUGUUAUUAGUUGCCAGCAUUAAGUUGGGCACUCUAAUGAGACUGCCGGUGACAAACCGGAGGAAGGUGGGGAUGAUGUCAAGUCAUCAUGCCCCUUAUGACCUGGGCUACACACGUGCUACAAUGGGCAGUACAACGAGAAGCGAGCCUGCGAAGGCAAGCGAAUCUCUGAAAGCUGUUCUCAGUUCGGACUGCAGUCUGCAACUCGACUGCACGAAGCUGGAAUCGCUAGUAAUCGCGGAUCAGCACGCCGCGGUGAAUACGUUCCCGGGCCU